CUAGUUGUUUUAAGAUGAAAGUUCCCAGUUCUCCCUUGCCCGGAAAGUCUCUGGAGCAAGCGUGGAAGGCGAGUGAAGCGGAAGAGAAGCAUAAAAAAACGCUGAACAAGAAAAACCAAACAACAGAAAGUAAAACCACUGCAAGCACCAAGAACGAAACGAAAAUGAGCACAGCAAAAAAGAUUGUGGCAGCACAAAAGUCAAGAAAAUGCACGUGUGAUCAUGACUGGCCAAUCAUCAACUGAUACAACAUCCAAGAAAAACGCUCCAAUCACAGCACCUCCACGAAACUUGACGGCAAUUGUCAUGCAACCGAUUCUUAGCCUUGUUACAUGACGCCAUCAUGUCACACUGUGAACUUUGAGUUGAUUUGAACUUACGGAUGGGGGACUUUUCUCCACUCUCAUGUGA
rnacentral:lncRNA from 1 species